GUCUACAGCCAUGCCACCCUGAACAAAACCAAUCUCAUCUGAUCUCAGAAGCUAAACAGAGUCGGGCCUGGUUAGCACUUAGAUGGGAGACCACCUAGGAAGACCGGGUGCUAUAGGUG
rnacentral:rRNA from 1 species